rnacentral:tRNA from 1 species
CUUAGCUCAGCUGGGAGAGCAUCUGCCUUACAAGCAGGGGGUCAUAGGUUCGAGCCCUAUAGGUCCCA